ACAGGAAAACAUUACAUGGUGUGGAAAGGAAAAAACAUACACCCAUAAUGGAAUUCAGGGAUAAAAGCCAUAAUGCUUAAUACAAUAAGCUGGCUGUGUGGCGGAGAAAGACUGCGUGGGACUUUUUGCCAGCGUCAGAAUUAGUUUGGGUGCCAGGCAGAUGGAUGGAAGCGAAGAGCUCACUGGUAUGAUAAAUGAAAUUCACAUCACUCAGCUCCAGUGAGCUGGACACAGGACGGUAUGCUGGGAUGUCUGAACAAAUAAGCUUUCGAGGUUUUUAUCUGGAGUGCCUGCUGAGGGCCAAAUGCUCAAACAGACCUAUCCUGCACCUGCCACCGAAACACUUAAACAAGCAAUUAUCCCAAAGAAACUGGAUCUGUAAACCAAUCACAUUUUUAAA